UGUUAGAGCGCACCCCUGAUAAGGGUGAGGUCCCUGGUUCGAGUCCAGGAUGGCCCA
rnacentral:tRNA from 1 species